rnacentral:rRNA from 1 species
CACGUAGUUAGCCGGUGCUUAUUCUUCAGGUACCGUCAUUAGCAAAAGAUAUUAGCUUUCACCGUUUCUUCCCUGACAAAAGAGCUUUACAACCCGAAGGUCUUCUUCACUCACGCGGCAUUGCUGGAUCAGGCUUUCGCCCAUUGUCCAAAAUUCCCCACUGCUGCCUCCCGUAGGAGUCUGGACCGUGUCUCAGUUCCAGUGUGGCUGGUCGUCCUCUCAGACCAGCUACUGAUCGAUGCCUUGGUAGGCUUUUACCCUACCAACUAGCUAAUCAGAUAUCGGCCGCUCCACGAGCAUGAGGUCUGCGACUCCCCCACUUUCAUCCUUAGAUCGUAUGCGGUAUUAGCGUAACUUUCGCUACGUUACUCCCCCACUCGUAGGGUACGUUCCGAUAUAUUACUCACCCGUUCGCCACUCCGCCACCAGACGCAAGCUCCGUGCUCGCCGUUCGACUUGCAUGUGUAAGCAUGCGCCAGCGUU